AUGUUUCCUGCUCUAAAUUUGGUUCUCUUUCCUCAUCUGCUCUUACUGGCAACGACUUCAUAUUCUCACGCACUGCCACUCAGCAACGAAACUGAUCACAAUGCCUUGCUAGCAUUCAAGGCAGGUCUAAACUACCAGUCAGAUGCACUGGCCUCAUGGAACAUAACCACUGACUUGUGCAAGUGGCGUGGUGUCAUGUGCAGCCUCAGGCAUAAGCGAAGGGUAUUGGCACUGAAUCUCUCCUCGACUGGGCUUUUUGGGUACAUAACCCCUUCCCUCGGGAACCUCACGUACCUGAGAAGUUUAGACCUCAGCUACAAUCUGCUACACGGCGAAAUCCCACGGGCGAUUGGCCAGUUGACGCAAAUGUCAUAUCUUGACUUGUCAAAUAAUUCACUCCAAGGUGAAAUGCCUUGGACAAUUGGGCAGUUACCACAGUUAACUUACCUAUAUCUAUCAAACAAUUCACUUCAAGGGGAGAUCACACAUGGCCUGUGGAACUGUACUCACCUUGUAAGUAUCAAACUUGACCUGAACAAACUCGAUCGAGAAAUCCCUGAUUGGCUUGGUGACUUGCCAAGGAUAGAGACCAUUUCAAUAGGGAAGAACAGCUUCACUGGGAUCAUCCCACCAUCACUUGGGAACCUCUCAUCGCUGCGGAGAUUAUACCUCAAUGAAAACCAGCUGAGUAGCCCAAUCCCUGAGAGCCUUGGCAGGCUUGGUAAGCUUGAGGCAAUAGCACUGCAAGUAAACCAACUCUCAGGAAACCUUCCAACAAUGCUCUUCAACAUUUCAUCCCUCAUCCUCGUUGGUCUCCAAAUGAACCAACUGCAUGGCAGACUGCCCCCCAAUUUGGGCAAUGGCCUGCCACACAUCCGAUACCUUAUCCUUGCUUUGAACCAUUUCACGGGAAGUAUUCUAGCUUCAAUUGCAAAUGCAACUACAAUCCAAUCGAUGGACCUCACUGGUAACAACAUCACCGGAGUCGUGCCUCCAGAGAUUGGAACACUCUGCCCAAAAUACCUGAUUCUUAAUGGAAACCAGCUAGAGGCAACCACUGUUCAAGACUGGGGGUUCAUCACUUCCCUGACAAAUUGCACAAGCCUUCAUUGGGUCACAUUGCAAAACAACAAGUUUAGUGGUGGGUUUCCGCGCUCUAUCGCAAACCUAUCAGGGCAACUCGAAGCCCUAGACAUCAGAUACAAUGGGAUAUCGGGCAAGAUACAAAUUGGCAUUGGCAACUUUCCCAAACUAUUCAAGCUAGGGCUAUCUGGCAAUCAGUUAACCGGCCCCAUACCGGACAGCAUAGGAACACUGAACAUGCUCCAGUUCUUGACACUAGAGAAUAACCAACUCUCUGGGAUGAUGCCGCCCUCACUCGGGAACUUAACACAAUUGCAGCACCUUUCAGUAGAUAACAAUAUGUUGGAGGGACCUCUUCCAAUGAACAUUGGAAAUUUACAACGACUUGUCAACGCAACCUUUUCGAACAAUGUGCUUUCAGGUCCAUUACCGGGACAAAUCUUUAGCCUGUCAUCCUUGUCAUACGUUCUGGACUUGUCGAGGAAUCAUUUUAGUAGUUCCCUUCCAUCCCAGGUUGGUGGUCUUACAGAGCUCACAUACUUGUACAUCCAUGAGAACAACUUGUCUGGGUUGCUGCCAGAUGCUCUCAGCAAAUGCCAGAGUUUGAUGGAGCUCCGUUUGGAUAAUAACUACUUCCACGAUAUGAUUCCUUUGUCCGUAAGUAGAAUGCAAGGCUUGACACUGCUGAAUUUGACCAAAAACAAGCUCACAGGAGGAAUCCCUCAAGAGUUAGGACUCAUGAGUGGCCUGAAAGAACUGUAUCUUGGACGGAACAAUUUGUCUGCACAGAUCCCAGAACACUUGGAAAGCAUGAUAUCACUCUACCGACUCGACAUAUCCUUCAACCUUAUUGAUGGGCAAGUCCCAGCACAUGGUGUGUUCACCAAUUUGACUGGGUUCACUUUUUAUGGGAAUGGUAAGCUUUGUGGUGGCAUUCAAGAGUUGCAUUUGCCUUCAUGUCCAUCCAAAGCAACUGGGGGUGGUCAAAGGAUACCCUGA
rnacentral:rRNA from 1 species